AUCCCUGUGAUGGAAUGUUAUUCAGCCUUAAAAAGGAAUGUAAUUCUGAUACGUGCUACAACAUACAUGAACCUUGAAAACAGCCACGUGAAAUAAGUCAGACACAGAAAGACAAAUAUUGUAUGAUUCCACUUAGAUGAGGUAUCUGGAAAGUAGAGGAGGGAUUACCAAAAGCAGAGGGGAAGGGGGAAUGGGGAUAUGUUGUUUCAUGGGUGUAGAGUUUCUGUUUGUGAUGAUGAAAAAUUUCUGGAAAUCGUGAUGACGGUUGCACAACAUUGUGAAUGUCCUUACUGUCACUGAGCUCUACGUUAAAAAUGGUUGAAAUGGUAAAUUGUAUGUUACGUACAUUUUAUCACAAUUUAAAAUUUUUUUUUAAUGUUUAUUUUUGAAAGGAGAGAAAGAGACAGAGCAUGAGUGGGGGAGGGGCAGAGAACAAGGGUGGCAUAGAAUCCGAAGCAGGCUCCAGGCUCAGGGCUGUCAGCACAGAGCCCCAUUACGGACUUGAACCCACGAGCCACGAUAUCAUGACCUGAGCCAAAGUUGGACGUCCAACCGACUGAGCCACCCAGGCACCCCGUCACAAUUUUUAAAAUACUAAAAAUAAAUGGAACUACUUUCUAUCUGAAGACCUAACCAUAGACAUCUUCUAACACUGAAGUCUGUAGACCCAGCAAGUGGCUCUUUCUUCGUGUAAAAUUCAACAAACAACCCAGUGGAACUUUAAGUGCCAUUAAACACCAGCCUUCCGUUCAUUGUAGUUGGCAUCAUAUUUAAGCAAUUACAACUUACCUUUUAUUUGUUCAUGGUACUCACCCUACUCCCAAGUAGCUAAGUUGCUUAACAUCAUGAGCCAGUUGCCAAGAUAAGCUCUGUGCUAUCACAGUGUUGGACCAAUGCUGUCCAUGGGAAUGGUCCUACAUGCUUUUAGUUGACCAGAUGCAAAAGGAACUUCGAGUCAUUUCACUCAAGACUAUAGAUCGUCAGCUGAGAGUACUGAGAAUGAAGUCAUUAGAAAGGACAGACUGGGAUGGACCUCUGACAACCAAUUCUUAAAAAAUACUUCUGUCUUCAGGCCUGCCUUCCCCACAUGAAUUCUCAGUAACUUUGAAGAGCAAAGUGAGAAGAGGGCAGUGUUACACUGGGAGAAACCACUUGGAGAUGUGCCAGAUUUCCCCACGUCUCCUGGUAUUAGUUCCUGGUUUGUUCCUUAACGUGAAUGAAAACCAUUUUGAGCAGACGGAAGAGCAAUACCGGAAGGCUGGGAUUCUGAGUUUCACCUAGAACGGAGAAGCCAGGACUUGGGAUUUUCCCCUCAAUCACCAUGCUGUGCUGAUGUGAGGAGCUCUGGGAAAUUAACCAACUGGCCGAGAAGCAACAGAUCUGAAUGCAUGGGGGAAAAAACCCAGUUGCUCAAGCCUGUCAAAAUGUAUAUUGAAAAAUUUUCAUCAACUCGCUUUGAAACAUACUCUCUAACCUAAACCCAGUGUCAGUGGACUGUGGCAGGUGUUCCACAUGGUAGUUUAAGAAUGUCUGUGGGAGACGUGGAAGUAAUUCAAACAAAAGAGGGCCUUUUUUUUUUUUUUUUUGUCAAUAGAGGGGAUGGUGGAUACAUUUCACGCAGAGGCAACAUUUGUGUUGAGUUUGAACUGUGGAUGGGAUAGACGAUUAGUGUUCCUGUCCAGGUUUGGAUUGAGCCCCAGGGACCUGACUGAACCAGAGGCAAUUGACUGAAUUCAGAUGCCACAAUUAGGCUGGGAAAAAUCCAAGAGGAAUACAUUUUUUUCCACCCAGAUGACCUGAGACACUUGUCUAUGCUUGAAUUUCCCUGUUGAUCUCAGUAUGUGUGUCUUUUUCUUUAAAGCUGAUGAGUGGGAUAACCAGACAACACUAAAGUUAAGAAGUUUCUCACAUAUCCACUGUAUAUUUUUCUAAAAACUCUGCCCAUAUUUCUUUUCAUCACAUGUAUUUAUCACACAUAAUGGAGGGUUUUUCCAUCUAAAAAACAUAGUGACUCAUUUUGCUAAUCAAUAUUAAUUCAUACAUGUAUGGUUUAGAUAGAUAUGAAUUUUUCAAUGUACAUUUGGUUUGAAGUAGAAUAAGGAUUUUUUUUUUACCCAUUCAGAUAUUUCUAGGAGAGCAAGUAAAAACAGGAACAUAGAUAGAUGUAAGUAAAUGGUAGAGAACAAGUAUGAGACCUGCCCUUAGAGAGAUAAACAUCUAAUAAUGUGUGAACAGAUUUCAACUGAUAUCAGAAAGGCUGUGAACAACAUUGGUUUUGUUUCAUCAUUUGAGGGAAAGAAUAAGAGAAGAGAGAAUAGUGUCCUCUUUUUCUCCCGCUUGGUUGGGAGACUGUCAUCAACAUUGGCUUUAAUCCUGGAUAAUCAACUUUUCUAGCAAUUGAAUGCAAGGAAGUUGGGUUUGUUAGCGAUUUGAACAAUUUCCAAAUGAAAAUCAACUUAGUUUUUUCUAUUUCCUGACAUAUUGGCAAAUCAUUUUUAUGAGCCCUUAUGUGAUUCAUUGAGCCAUUUGGGGAGGGUCAGAGGGCAAGAGUGCCAUUUACCAGAGCAGGUUUAAGCUGGGAAAGGCGAGGUCAGAGGGGAAGAGAGACCCUCAUUACUCUGGGAGGUUCUGGGGGCCAGCUCUGAGCCUGCCCAACUGUGUUAGGCUCACACUGGGUGUUUGUUAGCACAAAGCACCGAACUGCAGGUGUUCUGUGCUCUAACAGAGUCCUCAAAGAUCAGCCUCAAAUGUUUCUGUUACUAUGAAGAGGAUUAAAAGGAUUUAAAAACCUAGCAGGCCUGUCCAAAUGCUAGCAUAUUUGCCAACAUUUGCCAAGAGGGAGGAAAACAGGAUAGGCCGUAUCAGCUACGAGGCUUGGUAGUUGGGGGAAACAUACUUUUCAGGUUUCUUUUCCCCCCCUUUCUCUCCUUUUUUUAAUAGCCUGAAUGUGGAACUGUAGCACUUUCAACUGGAACUCGUUAAGAAUUCAUGGAGCAGAAAAUGUAAAGGGUUCUGGAAAUAGGGACUUUGAAAGGCCAGAAGUGAGCUAUAAAUAAACUGCUGUUGAUACUCAUUUUUUUUUCUGGUGGUUAAAUACACUUAUUACACCAGAAUGCCCACGUGGAAUAAACCAGGUGAUUUUGACCUGAAAACCCAAUUUACAUGGAGGGGCACGUUGACAUUUAUGGACUUACUUACCACGUAGAGGUAUCAUAACAGCCAUUACACAUUCUUGAAAAGCACUUUGGCUAUCCUGUAUGGCUUGUCUGUAUUGACAGCCAUCACCUGCAAGUGAAAGUAUGAGGGUCAGGCAUCUGGAAUCCUUGUUAAAGCACCAAUGUUACUGCUUAUCGUUAAUGGAUUUUACCAUCAAAUUCCAAUUUCUUUGCUUUCAGCUUUGCCCUACCUUUAGUUGUUCUGGUUCCUCUAUACAACACACUGAUUUUUCAGUGAGGUCCAGUGAAGAGGCUGAGAACUGAGUUAGCUGUGUGACCUUGGGUAAGUCAGAUAGCUUCUCUGAGCUUAGCUUCCUUACUGAUCAAGUUGGAGUAAUAAUAAAUUGCGCUAUCCUCCUCAUAAGAUGUGGCAUUUUUAAAUAGGGGUGAGGCUGACACCAAAGACUUCCUUGCAUGUGUUUAUAGAUAAUAUGUGAAGGUAUGUGCAUACACACACCCCCCCCCCCACACACACACACACACAGCCAUGUCUCCCAUACACAUUAUAUAAGUCUCCGAUUUCUAGGGUGAUAUUGUAAGAGUUUGCUUGUGUAAUGGGUGUUGAUUUUGGAGCUCACUGCAGAAACCUAUUAUUUGAAUAUGUCCUAUCAUGUGAUGUUUGGUACAGGAAUUCCUAACCUGGAUCCAUGGCCACUGCAGACUCAAAGAUAGGCCUUAGAGGUCUGUACCCCAGAGAGUGGAUGCAAACAUUUAGUCUGCAAUACAUGCAUUUUCUGGAAAGAAGUUUCAUUAUUUCUAUCUGGUUCUCAAGGGAGUCUACAAAUCUUGAAAAUAUUUAAGAACCACUACUCUGCAAGCUCUGGACUGUAAGGCAAUGGGGGGAAGGAUACAGGCUGUCUCUCCAAAGACAAGAUAGUUCUUGAUUUUUUCUCAUGGCUCUUCCGUUUUUCUUUUCUCCAUUUCAUCAUCAGUUAAGAAGGUAUACAACGCAUAUUUGAAAUUUAAAUCAGGUAAUUCACUUUUAACACAGUGUUUGAUAAUGCUCAAUAAGUGUUAGCUCUUGUUUUAGCAUUUUAAUAUCAUGUAGUAUCUUGAUAAGCAAGAGAGGCAUGCAGGAGAUAUUGCCCUUGAUUAACUUGCCUUUGAAGAGCUUGAAGGGAUCAGACACGUUAAUAUGUAUCAAAUAACAAUGAGAUUAUGUGGGAAAGAUUUCAAGGAAAUGAUGGAGGGAAUUUUGCAUGUGUUCAGAUUGAAGAGCAGCCUGAGAUAGGAAGACUGGAUGAAGAGAAGUUGGAUACUCUAGUGAGAGUUCAAAGGGGGAAUGAGUCAGUCUUCCAAGUGAGAUGCAUCCAGAGGUAACUUUAGCCAGACAGGUUGAAGCAAGAUUGUGGAGGGUCGAGAAUGACAUGCUGUGGAGUUCGGAUUUGACCUGGAGGUAAUGGGAGCUUCAGAUGAUUUUGAGCAGGAAAAUUACAUGAAGAAAACAAUAUAUUCAAAGCAUUAAUUUGGCAUAUAUGGGCAGGAUGGAGCCAUGUGAGAAGGUACUGGAGUCAGGAAGGGAACCGGGAGCUAUGGCAAUAAUCAAGGUGUGAGGUGAUGGGGGCCUGCUCCAGGAUGGGAAUGUUUGUGGAAGGUGCUGGGUAUGGGGGCGGUGGGGCGUGUAUCCACCUUAAUUGCUUAUUUGCUAUGAUUUCUGUUUCCAAUGGCAGUUUGCCUUGGCUACUAAACCUUCCUGACCCUGAAAUGUUCACUCCAGUCUUCCAACAGGGGAAGGAAAGAGGAAAGGAAGGGAAGAAAGGAGAGACGGAGGAUGGGAAUUGUUAGAGCAGGCAGUCAGGGACCUCUAGCGUGGAGACUGGAUUCUAAUCAACCGAAGUAGUCUCAGGGAGAGAAGGAGGAAGAGAGUAAGGAUGGUCAUUUGGACUUACUCAAUUUAGGAAUAACUUCCUCAAAAAGAGUCAAUAUGACUGAAAAAUGAGUGACUUUAGUCUCCUAUUUACAUCAGAAGGAGCCAUAAAAUGCAGAGAAAGAGAGGCAUUUGCUCUCCUGAUUGAGCUUCAGGUUCACCUAAAGUGAUGGUUUUCAAACUUUUUUGACCAACGCUCCAUAAUAAAAAAUAAAUUUAGAUGGUAGUGAAACACACACACACACACACACACACACACACACAAAUAUAAACAUAAACUUUAUUGAAAUAAAAGUUUUAUAGAACAUUCCUUCUCUUACCACCUGUGAUUCAUUCUGAUAUAUUUUUUUCUGAUCUAUGUAUGUAUUUAUAUAUGUAUGUAUUUUUACAAAGGAUGGUUGUGAGUCACUAAACUGAUUUUUUGAUCCACUAAUGGGUUACAACCUGCUCCUUAUAAACCAUAGACUUCUAAGGAGCUGGGAUUCAGCACCAGGAUCAGGAGAUUCACGUACUCACAGGCACAACUGGAAUGUUUUGGUCGGCUUCUGUUUCCUACCCACUGGCCUCACCCAAGCCUUUAUUCUCUGUGGAGUUUCAAAACCUGAGAAGAGAUCGCGGCCCUGCUCCAUUUAUUUUAGAACUCCAUUUCAGAACCUGAUCUCAGAUGCAGUGCCUACACCCAAGCCCCCUGGCAGGGCCGUCCAGUUCACUAGCAUGGCAGUCCUCACUUGGGACACGAAGCCCACACACGAAGAUCCAUCAACAGGGCUUGUUCCCUAAUGAGACCUGAACCCAGACACAAUGGCCACAAUUGGUACAGACAUUUUAAUGUCUUGGGCUGGUUCCUUAUAUUAUCCUUGGCUCUAGUGGACCAAUGCACACACAGUAACAUUCUUUACCUGAAGUUAGCUGUAAUUUCAAACUAGGUAGAAUUCUUUCCUACCUUUGAAACCACAAAAUAAAAUCAAAGAAAUAGGAUCUUUUGCAGACUGUGGCUUUGCAUUGACGAGAAGGGGUGAAAGGCAAGCACAUGGCCUCAGGUUGGAAAUAAAUUUUAAAAUGUCUGAUUUUGAUCAUAAGGCCAAAUUAUCUGGGCACGCAGUGGUCAUUAAAGCCUUCUGUCUGUAAGCCUCUCGUGUAUGUAUAUGCGUACCUGUAGUUCAGCAUUCUGGCUCAAUAAUAAGUAGAACAUCAAAGCAGAGAAGGAAAAGUGAACCCAGGCAAUGAAAAUCAAUCUGAUUUAAGGGAAUUGAGUCUGCCUAUGAACUCAGCUAGUUAUCAAUAUCCUGGAAAGAAAAAUGUAGAAUAUCAAUUCUAGGAGCCAUAAAUCAAAAUGGGGGUGCAAUUAUUUCCACUUACAUGUUCCUGCUUUUAAGAAGACUAAAGUUGUGAGGAAUAACUCAGGUGGGAAUGAACUCCAGUAUUUUGCAGUGGUCAUUCUUCUUUUGGGAACAGUGGCCUACUUAUUACCUGACUUUGACCAUUUCCCUGGAAAUUUGAGUGUAUAUUGGCAACACUGUUGAGUGUUUUGGUGGGCCCCUGGUUUCCUUUAUGGUCUAAGGAUUGGGUGGAUAUGUCGUCUGCUCAAUUUCCAAGUAAAGCCCCAAGUUAAAUGGUUCUAGAACUAUGGUACAUUAAUCCCCAGAAGGAAGUCAGUAGAUGACUUUUGAAAUUAUAUGGAAAAUUUUGUGUAUAAGUAUGAGAAUGAAUUUUUCUAGGAAGAAGGCCAUAGCUUUCAUCAGUCUGCCAAAAAGAUCUGCAAAAAGCUUAAGAAUCACUGCACCAGAAUAUCACCAGCAUCUAGAUGUGUCAAAGUAAUAUAAUCAUCAGGCUCUAUCUUCGGGGACCACUCAAAUCAUGGAUUGGAAAGUGAAAACACCACACGGCAAAUGGCUUCAUUUAGAGUCGAAGGCUGGGGUAUGGGACGUGGUUUGGAUUCCUGUGUAAGCCAGCUUCCUUCUGCCUCAUGACUAUACACUGUAUGACAACCAACUCAAUUGGUCAAGGACCAAUUGUAAAAAGGGAGCUAUAAUGAGAAAGGCAGUAUAAACAACAGAUAAAUGGAAAAUCCAGGACCAGACCUUGUAUCUUUAAAUCCAGGUCAAAUGCUCCUUCCAUUUCCUUACACUGCCAUGAUAAUUCUUUCAGUCAUUCAAACAUUUAGCAUGUGAGUACUGGUCUGUCACUGAGCUGUUUUCUCCAGGCCCAACGUCCCAGCUUCUUUGAUUCAGCUCUUAAAAUUGACAUGUCCAGUCCCUCUAAUAUUGUGGUUCCUACUCUUAGAAACACUCUCCUCUUUGUCAAUGUCCCAUUAAAUUGCUAGAUUCCUAGGGGCGCCAGGGUGGCUCAAUCAGUUAAAUGUCUGACUCUUGAUUUCUGCUCAAGUCACGAUCUCACUAUCAUGGGAUUCGGGCUCCGGGCUGGCCGCACAGAGCCUGCUUGGGAUUCUGUCUCUCCCUCUCUCUCCGCCCCUCCCCCACCCAAGUGCUUGCUCUCUCUCUCUCUCUCUCUCUCUUUCUCAAAAAAUGAAAAAUACAACAAAAAAUAAUAAAAUAAAAUAAAGUAAAAUAAGUGCUGGGCUUCUAGAAAAUAUUUCAGAUAUGAAGCACAACAAGGGCUAGCGAUUUACCACUGUCUUUUUCCUUCCAAGGAAUAUGGGACUAAGAAAGCUCUGUUGCUUACAGUACCAAAUAGCACAUGUUGUUCUGAUACCGAGCCAUUUACCUCUGAAUCCCUGAAGUCUACAGUGAUAGAUAUCCUCCAAGAUGGCCCCUGAAGUUUCUUGCUCCUCCUAUUUAUCCCCUUGUGUAGUCCCCUGCUACACUAAAAAGUACUGAUCUGUAGGGCACCUGGGUGGCUCAGUCUGUUGGGCAUCCGACUUUGGCUCAGGUCAUGAUCUCGCCAUUUGUGGGUUCAAGCCCCGCGAUGGGCUCUGUGCUAACAGCUCAGACCCUGGAGCCUGCUUUGGAUUCUGUGUCUCCUCCUCUCUCUGCCCCUCCUGUGCUCAUGCUCUGUCUCUCUCUGUCUCUCAAUACUAAAUAAACGAUAAAAAAACUAAAAAGAAAACUACUGAUCUGUGUAACUAAUAGAAUAUUGUGGAAAUGAUGGAGUGUGAUUCCAGGGCAAAGUUGUAAAAGUCAUUCCAUUAUUUUUUUUUUUUUGUCCUUCCUAUCUUUUAGGUAACCUAUUCUGGAGGGAGAAAGUGCCCAUGUUGUAAGGGAACACAAACAGCCCUAUAUGGAGGUCCAUGUAACAAGGAACUGAGGCUUCCUGCCAAUAGCUAGUGUUGUAUUGCCAGUCAUGUGAGUGAACCAUCAUGGAAGUGAAUUCUCCAGCCCUUGUUGAGCCUUUAGAUGCCUUGACCCUAGCCAACUUCUUGACUGAAUUCUUUUGAGAGACGCUGAGCCACAUCCAUCCAGCUAAGUCACUCUCAAAUUCCUCAAUUUUAAAGAUAUUUGUUGCACAACAAAAGAUAACUAACACAUCUAUUCAGUAGAUAAGUGAAGCCUAACUCUAUCAUGUGCUUUAGAUUCACAUUCAAACAAAGAUACUGAUCAUCUAAUAUGGUGCCGUAUAUUUUGUGACAUGUUUCAAAAUAAAUUAUUUUGUUCACUUUUUAUGAUAACUCUGUUAUGGAUGCAUAAUAAGCCCUUUUUUACGUAGUAGAAAACUAAGACUCAGAGAGGCAAAGCAACUUCACUAUGGUCUCAUAUCUAGAAAAUGAAGUGAGAACUUGUAUUACUGACCAGAUUCCCAUGUUCCACCUGCUAGGGUACAGUUUCAAAGGACAUAUAAAGCCACAAGAACCAUAGUGGAGGGCUAUGGUGCUCAGGGAAGAUAACACUAUAUCUUUACAUUCCUGUACUGGUACAACCAACUAUUUUACACCUUCAUUGAAAAUGUGACUUUACUGCAGAAUCUAUUGUAUUUCAUGCUUCCUUUUCUUUUUCCAGAAUUCUUUUCAAGGCAAAAUAUCAAUGAAAAAGUAUUGAUUAUGGCUAUAGUGAGGGAGUAGAUUUGCGGAACCAGUAUGAAAGCUAUUAUGUGUUUUUUUCUGGAUGUUUAGAUGGAGAUAUAUUCUUCAUCUCUUCACAUGAUCAUAAAGUCACAUUUAACAGAUCUUGCCAACAUCUAUAUACUUGACUAUAGUAUUGCAUAAAAAGAAAACCCACAUUAGAGCAUAAGCUAUGUUUUAUGUUCACCACUGUACCCCAAUGUAUAAGUGCAUGGAUGUGGCAGAUACUUAACAAGUAAUGUUGACUAUUACAACAUAUGAUGGACAGGCCGCUUUAUAAAAUGGACGUUUACCUUCAAAUUAAGAUAAAGACUGUCACUCUAAUUUUUACAUAUAUAUUUUCUACUUAUCACUAAAAUCUAUACUUUCUAUAUUUCUUUCUGUAUAGAAAGAAAUGCAAGAACCUGAAACAAAUAAUUCAGACACUAACACAUUUCUUCAUGGGGAUUAUUCACAUUUUAUAUAGUGGUACUAGUGAAUGGUGUCCAAAGUCUGAGCCCUAUUAUUUUUCAUCACAUUAAAGAAAAAGCUUUGAAAGGUAGAAUGGUGAGACAUCACUCUUUCUUUUUAUCCCAUGGCUGCAUGUCAUUUUUAUUUUCAUACCUCAUCUUGGAUGAACUU